rnacentral:rRNA from 1 species
UACGUGGGGUGCGAGCGUUAAUCGGAAUUACUGGGCGUAAAGCGUGCGCAGGCGGUUCUGCAAGUCAGAUGUGAAAUCCCCGGGCUUAACCUGGGAACUGCGUUUGAAACUACGGAGCUAGAGUGCGGCAGAGGGGGGUGGAAUUCCACGUGUAGCAGUGAAAUGCGUAGAUAUGUGGAGGAACACCGAUGGCGAAGGCAGCCCCCUGGGCCGACACUGACGCUCAGGCACGAAAGCGUGGGGAGCAAACAGG